UACGUAGGGUGCAAGCGUUGUCCGGAAUUAUUGGGCGUAAAGAGCUCGUAGGCGGUUUGUCGCGUCUGCUGUGAAAACUGGGGGCUCAACCCCCAGCCUGCAGUGGGUACGGGCAGACUAGAGUGCGGUAGGGGAGAUUGGAAUUCCUGGUGUAGCGGUGAAAUGCGCAGAUAUCAGGAGGAACACCGGUGGCGAAGGCGACUUUCUGGGCUGUAACUGACGCUGAGGCGCGAAAGCGUGGGGAGCAAACAGG
rnacentral:rRNA from 1 species